CACAAAAGGGAGGAAAGGUUUCAGGAACGUGUGGAAGGCUGUAAAAAGCCACUUCCAAACCCUCAAAACCAAAGUGUGUCCUCGUGUGCCUGACCGGGAGCCAUCGCAGGAGCAUCCACAAACAUCCAGAGCAGAACCGACAGCAGACACAGAUCCGCUCGAGUCCCAGACAACAGAUCAAUGCCUGAUCCUUUCUAAUAGACUGAGACGGGAAUUUGCAUCUCCACACUUUGGCUUUCCUUAUGAAGCGAGACCUCAACAUGAAGCAGAGUACUUCUGCUCUCUCUAUGAAGUGGGAGAAGAAGUGGGAUCGGGAGACUAUGUAGUCGGUGUCUAUGAAGGAAUUAGAAGAUCGGAUGGCCAGAGGGUGCUCAUCAAAUUUGUGAAGAGGCACUGGCCUGGGAAAACAUCGGAGUUGGUAAGUU